UGGACCUUUGAUUCACCAGCACCGACAUCAAGAAAUGCAACCAUCAACUGUGGAACUGAGAUCAUGUCUCUUGAGUGGGAUUGCAGGUCCAAUAAUUUGCUAUUCAUGGGCACUUCUGAUGGAUGCAUAAAAGCAUGGAAUGCAGAUGCUAAGCGGUUUGUUUGUGAUCUAAAGUCUUCAAAAGCAUAUCCGAGUAUUUUGGACCUGAAAUGCAGUCCCGUGGAGCCUAUUUUGGUUUCUGCAGCAGCAUCUGGGAGGUACUUUUGAACUUGCCAUGUAUCAUUCACUUUAGCCC